AUGGACGGCGACCUGACGGAGGGGCUCCUCUGCAAGAACUCCGGCAAGCGCCCGGAGUCCCCCCCUCCGCUGUCGCCGUCUUCGGGGGACAUUUUCAAGGACCCUACCGACUCCAGCGACUCCAGCACCAGCGGGGCCGCGACGAACCGGGCGCCCGUCCGCGACGACUGCAAGAACCACCAAGAAGUGGUGGUGGCGUCCUCUGCGGCCAGCGAAGGCGAGCACGGGACGGUAUCUACCGGCGAGGAAGAGGAUAAGGAGGCGUCGGGACCCCUUGCUCGCUGGGAAGCCCUGGCGGCAUCCGCUGCUCUCCGGGAGGCGGCGGCGGCGGCGGCGGCAUCUCGCCGGGAGGCGGGGAGGGGCUUCUUUUUCGGCGGGGGGAGAGCAGGAGGUGGCUCGAGCGGCGGGGCCGUUUCGAGCAGGGCUGAGCACCUGAUCCUCGUCCCUCCGCCGGGAGCGGCGGGUCUGAUCCACCGCGCCGAUCACCUGUCCGACUCCUGGAGGACGGACCCCAUCCUCGCCGGCCCUUCGACCGACCUGACGGUCGCGCUGCAGGCGUUCGCCGCCGCACCAGAUGAGAGAACAGCGGCCAGGCUCGAGCAGGCGGCUGCGGCGUUGGACAUUGUUGCAUCAAGCAACACGGAGGAUGGUGCUGUCGCCAAGCAGCUGGCCGCCGAAGCGGCGGCACUUGCGGCCGGCUGGCGGGGAGACGACCGGCAGCGGCAGGGGUCGAGCGCCUUCGAAACGGCGGCCGGUCGGCGGGAACCGGAGCUGCAGGCGCCAGCGUCCUAUUCCACUGAAACUUUGUUGUGCGCCGUGAUCUCUGGCUCAUUGGCCCUGCUUCCAUAUUUGCCCACCCAAGUCCCCAAGCGUUCCCGGAGUGUCUUUGCCGUUCUCUUUGGCAGCGUCUUCGUACUCGCUUCAGUCGGUGUGAUGCUCCUCGUCGCACACAAGAGGUUUGCCAACACUCUGGCGAGAAUCUCUUUUGGAACAUUUACAGUGUUGGUUAUCGCCUUUGUUGGGUUCGCCCUCGGAGGAAGGACAUACAGUUGA
rnacentral:rRNA from 1 species